rnacentral:rRNA from 1 species
AUGAUUCAAGUUCAAUUUCCAGGAAGGACGUUCAUGCCCAUCACUGAGCCCAUAGAGUCUUCCUUUGAUGCACCAACCUGGAGUCUAGGAAAGAGCAUGGCAGCCCACAUUACCAUUGGACGUAUUGGAGAAGUUUACCACAAGGAUCUCAAGGAUACUAUUUACCAGAUUUGUGGGCACCGAGACGAGCAAUGGGAGAUGAUCAGUACCAGGAAGGAUAGAUCAAUUGCAGCCUUCAUCCAGGAGCUAAACCAGCACAUUCGUCGCCAGGAGAACCAGAUGUGCGCAGGCAUGAUAGAUCUGAAGAAGGCAUUGACCAAGAUCACGGAGCUGGAAGAAGAACUCAAGUCUACACGCGAUGGAUAUGAAGAGGAAAUGACGACAAUCGUGGAGAAGAAUGAUGAUCUGAAGAAGAAGCUAAAAGUAUUCAUGGGAUUCCCCGCGACUGGAGGAGAAGACGAUGAUUGCACUUGCCCAGAGAACUACAUCAUCAUCGACGACACCGAUUCGGACCCAGACGAUAGCGAUGAUGAUUUUGUUGAUGAAGCUGGAGCAGAUAUCAUGCAGUCUUCGACCGAUCAAUUUUUCUAG